AUGGUUCGAAACUAUAGGAAGGCCAACACCUCGCUACAAAUGCUCAUCUGUUGGGAGAUUUGGAACGAGAGGAAUGCUAGGGUGUUCCGCUCCAAAGCUUCCCUUCCUUCCAGAGUGGCCACGAUGAUGAAAUAUGAGGCCAAGACGUGGGUCAUCACCGGGGCUAGAUUAUUGGGCAAUUUAAUUCCGGGAGAGUAG
rnacentral:rRNA from 1 species